rnacentral:rRNA from 1 species
GGAAGGCAGCAGGCGCGUAAAUUACCCAAUCCUGACUCAGGGAGGUAGUGACAAGAAAUAACAGACCGGAGCCUCUGGUUCCGGGAUUGCAAUGAGUACAAUUUAGACUCCUUAACAAGUAACAAUUGGAGGGCAAGUCUGGUGCCAGCAGCCGCGGUAAUUCCAGCUCCAAUAGUGUAUAUUAAUGUUCCUGCAGUUAUUCGAUGCUCGUAGUUGGAUUUCUGGAGGCUGAGACAGGAGGGCAGCCAAGGUUGUCGCCAGUCUCUUCCUUCAUCCGCCUGUUAACGUUGUCCGGGAUUUAUUUCUCGGCUUCGGGCUCAGGUACUUUUUUUGUUUUACCCUUUCUUUAUAUUCAUUUAUUUAUCUUUAUUUUUUGAGCAAAUUAUAGUGUUUCAGGCAGGCGUGCGCCGGAAUACAUUAGCAUGGAAUAAUCGAAUUGGACCGUGUAUUCACUAUGUGAAUUCUUCCUUAUUUGUUGGUUCUAAGGACACGGAUAUGAUUAAUAGGGAUAGUAAUUUUCAGGGGAGGCAUUAGUAUUUAAUUUCCAGAGGUGAAAUUCUUUGAAAUAUUAAAGACUAACUUAUGCGAAAGCAUUUAUUUUGCCAAUAAUGUUUUCAUUAAUCAUUGAACGAAAGUUAGGGGAUCAAAGACGAUCAGAUACCGUCCUAGUCUUAACCAUAAACGUUGCCGACUAGGGAUCGGAGGGCGUGCACAUUCCGCCUUCGGCACCUUACGAGAAAUCAAAGUCUUUUGGGUUCUGGGGGUAGUAUGGUCGCAAGGCUGAAACUUAAAGGAAUUGACGGAAGGGCACCACCAGGAGUGGAGCUUGCGGCUCAAUUUGACUCAACACGGGAAAUCUUACCAGGUCCAGACAUAGCGAGGAUUGACAGAUUGAUAGCUCUUUCUUGAUUCUAUGGGUAUUUUUGGUGGUGCAUGGCCGUUCUUAGUUGGUGGAGUGAUUUGUCUGGUUAAUUCCGUUAACGAACGAGACCUUAACCUGCUAAAUAGUCACGCGUUUUUCGAAACGUGGGCGGCUUCUUAGAGGGACUAUCGGUGCGAGCCGGUGGAAGUUUAAGGCAAAAACAGGUCUGUGAUGCCCUUAGAUGUCCUGGGCCGCACGCGUGCUACACUGAUGCAUACAGCGAGCACUUCCCGGCCCCGAAAGGCGGCUGGUAAUCAGCAAUAUGCAUCGUGAUGGGGAUAGUUCUUUGGAAUUCUUGAACUUGAACGAGGAAUGCCUAGUAGGCGCAAGUCAUUACCUUGCGUCGAUUAAGUCCCUGCCCUUUGUACACACCGCCCGUCGCUCCUACCGAUUCGAGUGAUCCGGUGAACCUUUUGGACCGGAGCUGCUUGCAGUUCUGGAAAAUCAAGUAAACCACGUCACUUAGAGGAAGGAGAAGUCGUAACAAGGUUUCCGUAGGUGAACCUGCGGAAGGAUCAAU